GACGGGGGGGACCAGUGUUAGUCGUAUUGAUUGGGCGUAAAGGGUGCGUAGACGGCUUUUUUGAACUUACGGUAAAUUCCACCUCGAACGUGGUACCCGUUUGUGAUCGUUAGGCUAGAGUGGUGGGGAGGGGGGUAGUACCUCCAGUUUAGGUUUGAUGGCCGACGAGACUGGAGGGACUCACAGUGGCGAAGGCGGCUUUUCCCAUCCACUACUGACGUUGAGGCACGGAGGCGUGGGGAGCGAACGGG
rnacentral:rRNA from 1 species